GUGGUAAAUAGGUGAUUAUUAGCGCGAGGACCACGUGAAAUAGAGGGUGGUGCCUUUUUUGUUUUCUCCUUUUAAAAAUUAAAUGCUCACAAGUUCCCUACCUUCUGCGUAAGAAUCACGUUCCUUCAAGUGUACUGUGUACCUUCUUCUUCUUGACAUAUCAACAAGAUUUUCCAAAAGGGUCCAUAUAUACAAAUUGAUUAGCAACAGGACAUCACCUCAAGAUCAUAGCCAGCAAGGUUUGCGCGGAAAUCAAAGGAAGACACCAUCUCAGAUAACAUAUUAAGCAGUAGCUCCUUUCCCUUUGCACAAUUUGCCACAAUUGUGAAAAUCUCCUUGUUAGACAUCCCUCUGGCGUACAAACUCGCUCUGAAGUUAGCAGUCCAUUCUGCAACAGAUUCGAGUCUCUGGAACAUGUGAAGUACUCGAGAACCAAGCGGACUAAUCAAACAGCCAUCUAAAGGGGAGGUCAUUUCCACAGUUAAAGCAGCCAGACAGAAAUCCCAUAACUCCUGAUUCCACAGGUUGAGCAAUGUCUCUUUCCCGUUUUUGUAAAACUCUUACAAACUCAUCUGCGCUUAAAUGCCCGUCGCCAUUUGAGUCAAACACAUGGAAAACGAUAUCAAUCACAUUGUCCGUGAGGGAGAUGCCACAAACAUAGGAUGCAGCUCUUUGAAAGUCCUCCUUUGUUAACAGGCCAUUUACUUUCCCAUAACUAAAGAGGGCCAAAGAAAAUGGCCGCAACUUUCUACGCAAUUCUGCAAAAUUUUUAAACUCCUCAAAUGUUAUUCGAAUGUCCUUGAGGCGUGCCUCAUUAUUUAAUUCAUCAACCCGAUCGAGUAACUUAUCCAAGUGACUCAAGUCAGCAGAAGCAACCAUGGACAAUGCAAAAUCCUUAGCUGAUAUGGUUUUUUGUAAUUUAUAGUCAUAGUGUGCAAAUUCCAAUCUCAAAAUCUCAUGAUGCAAAUCCUUCAAAAACUGGACAAACUUAUCAUGAUGGAGGCGUCCAUUUCCAUCUUUGUCAAAGAAGUACUCCACCACACCUCCAUUUUCCACAGUGCCACUAACUUUCAACCCUGUUCGAAGUCCAUUCUUGUGGACAGCCCCUUGUCUGUUGUGAGCUCGCAUCAAGGCCAUCACUUUCUUAAACUCUUCCUUACUGAUCUCCCCAUUGCUGUUAAUGUCAAACAUUUUGAAAGCCACAGAAAAGCUUGAUUCUGGAAUACUAAGUAAUGUUACAAAAAAGAUAUACUCCUUGAAUGAUAUAAGCCCAUCAGUGUCCAGAUCAAAUAGCUUAAACAAAUCGGAUGGAGGACAUCUUAGCUCGCCAGGCCUCCUUUCCCCACUCAAAUAUCCUUCUCUAACAAGGUGGGAUUCAGAAGGAGGGAAAACAGGAACAACGGCCCGCAUCAAAUCUGCUGGUUUCAUUAGUAACUCUCCAUCUGCUGCUUGGAAAGAUGCAAAGUACUCAAAAACCUUCUCAGGAGGACUUCGCAGCCUUAUCCUCUUCUCGUAUUUAAAGAAAACCUUUCUCCUAUACGCAUCUCCAAAGAGAAACUUUGAGCAACGAAAGUUUGCCAAAUGUAGAAGUAGAACACGGAUUCCCCACCGUCGAUCCAGCCGCGGUGGCCGUUGUUGGCCAGUCGGCGAAACUCAAUAGCGAUCUCUUGAAGAAUAGAGACUGAGAAUCACUGGUAGAAUUUGAUAACCAGUAAAACAAACCUAUGGUGGAGCCCACUGCGAUCCCCGAAAACCAUCUCUUGAAGGAUCCAUGAGCGUGAUUGUCGUUUUCAUCAUUACUCUUGCGUGCGGAGGCGUAGAUCACAGACAACGAAGACAUAGAGGAUGGUCCUGUAUUGGAGUACUGGCGAGAUUGGAGCCAUUGGAUAAGGUAGAGUUGAUGGAUAGACGGUCGAGAUCUUUUAAGAGAUGACAAGGCAGGCAUGGCGAAGACUUGGAAACAGAUAAACAGAAGAUCGAAGAAGCGAGAUUUGUGAAUAUGAUUUUCCCAUUCGAUUUUCUGG
rnacentral:misc_RNA from 1 species